GGGCAAUCGCUUCAACGCCACACACGCAUCGGCACCGUCUUCGGGGUGCCUGUCCUUCGGGGCGGGUCGAAGCCGGGGAUGCGUGGAGGUCCCAAC
rnacentral:sRNA from 1 species